UAAAGGUGACGAAAGCGCUGGUGUGCACCUCUUCCCAUUCCGAACAGAGCAGUUAAGCCCAGCAGCGCCGAUGGUACUUCGAUAAUACGCGGGAGAGUAGGUAGUUGCCAUCUU
rnacentral:rRNA from 1 species